UGCAAGAAAAUUCAUUUUUAUUUCAAAUGCUUGAUCAGACACAUUUAAUGAAAACCAACCAUUACAGGAUCAGAUAUUUUUCGAAUGUGCAGGGCACCGCCAGCUCAUCAUGAAAUUUCAUUACAUAGAUAUAGAAACAAACAAGGGUUCGGUAAAUCAACUUAACAGAAACAGGUUCAGUAGAUCAAAAGCAAAUACAACUACCAAAAUCAGUUAAUUCUUAUUGUUGGGCGUUGAUGCUAAAAAAAGUACUAAAAAAAAAUCUGAAAAUGGAAUUACUCUCUCCCACUGUCCUCAUCUGAACCACCUGCUUCUUUAACAUCAACACUGAAGCUAUAUUCCUGGUCACAGCCCAGAUAAGAAUCACACAUAAAAUACAGAGUAUAAGACUUCCUUCCAGCUUCUGAGGGGGCAGCAAACUCAAGCUUCACCUUUGACUUCCUCUGGAGAGAAACCCUCUUGAUGGCAAGCAACUGGUUGCUCUUGGUAUCACCAACAACGAGCCACCAGCCUUCUUCUUUGGCUUUAGGAUACCUGGGAGCAUCAACUGCUCCCACGUCUGUCCUCCCCUCCAGAUCCCGUUCUAGAGUGACCUGCAAAGUGAUAUCGUCUCCCACCUUCAUAUGCUCACUAUCCAUCACCUCAUAGGACAUGUCAAUGUUGGGGAAGCGGUUGCAAAACCUCACAAUAUCUAGCAGUUGUAAAUCUGACAUCUGGAGAAGCUCCCGCCUUUCAUCAUCUUCCAUCUCUACCAAAUCAAAUACUGUCUCUAUACUCUUUCCAGGAUUCUCUUGGCAUUUCUUGGCCAAUUCCUUUGUGAAGUGUGGAAGCUGUAGAAGCAUAGAAUCACGCUCCCACAUCCCCUGUGUCACCAUUUGACUAACUUCCAUUGCAAGAAUAGCAAGGCUUAACCAGCCAUUGCUUGAAAUAACAUCAACCAUUGCUUGGAGCAAUCUACUGGCAGAAAGAAGCACCUCUCGUUGGUCCAGUGCAAGGUUUCCACCCACAGAUUGCCUUGAGAAAUGGGCUUGUAGCAGUACAUUUGCCUUCACAUGUGGAUCAGUAUAUCUGGGAUUCUCAAAUGAGAACCUCUGGUGAUUGAUCAGCCGCCGAAGCACCUCUUCUUCUCCAGGUCGUAUGGGAAGAUGGGCAUACUCUGAAGCUGAAGCCAGAAUUUCCAGAAGACCCUUCAUCUUUGUUUUGGGAGUCAAAGAAGAACUAAAACGCUCAAUAGUAGUGUAACUGAUGUAAUAGUAUGAUGCUAUCAUGCCAAGAUUCAGUGGAGACAGGUCCAUGUCGUCCUCGAUAGCAACACAUUUACCUGCUUCCAAAUCACUCAAUGUUUGCUCAACAAGCUCUGAAAGGUGAUCAGAAAGAUGUCUAUGACUAACUCCCUGGAGAUUGUAGUAAUUUGGAUUCUGAGUGAGCCGCCUAUACAUAAAUGUCCAAGUAAGAUAAUCUACUGCAUCUUGCUUAUUUUCAAUAACUCCAGCAACUAUUUCUGCGUUGAAAUUGUCAUGCAGGAAAUGGUGCAAAUGGCUUUCCACAGGGAAAGCUUCAUAUAAGAAUUUCUUGUAAUACUCUUUACGAGGUGCAUGGCAGAGGAUGACACACUUUCCAGAGUUAUCUAGUAGAGGUCGACUGGCAUGACCCAUCAUCUGCAAGAGAUCUGUAACAGGGUAAUCAGUGUGAGCAUUUUCACGCCCAUCAUAAUAUUGAGUUCCCAUCACAACUACCAAAUGCGCUGACAAUGGCACUCCCCAACACAUUGAACUGCUCAUAACACAAACCUGAAUCCACCCAGCUUCAAACAGCUGUGACACAACUUCUUGAUCCAAGCUACUCAAGCCCUCAUGCAAGUAUCCAACACCAUGAAGUAAAGUAGCUCUCAACAUUUCAUCCUGAAUCUUGCCAACAAAGGGCUCCAGCUCUACCGAGGACCUCAACAAAAAAGCAGGUUUCUCUCCACUGUCCACACUUGAGUAUGUCAUCAGAUCCACAGCAGUGAGUCGCACAUGCUUUCUCGUAGAAACAAACACAAUAGCAGGCUUUCCAUUUUUGGCAUGUUGGACUAUUGCAGUGUAUGUUGGUUUCGUCAUGGCCUGUAUCCUUGCUUCAAAAUUGGCAAUAUCCACUCCCUGAAUAUGUAUUUCUAAGGGGACAGGACGCACACCAGGGGGGAAAUUAAAAAGGCCAUGGGAGGUGGCUCCUAUCCAUUCCCCAAGAUCCUUGGCAUUUGCAAGGGAAGAUGACAAAGCCACAAUUCGAAUCUUAUUCUCUAUCUGACUAGCAAUAUAUCUCAUUCUAGAAACAAUCACCUCUAAGACAGGACCUCCAUGACCCCCAAUCAAGUGGAGCUCAUCAAUGAUAAAUAGACUAACCAGCUGCACAUACUUCCUCUGUUUCCAGCGACGAGACAAAGCAUCCCAUUUUUCCGGAGUGCUGAUAAUUAUUUGACCCUUUUCAAGCAGCUUUAAGUCUGUUGCAGUUUCUCCAGUCAAUUCAACAACACGCAUUCCAAGACCUCGACCAUACUUUCUCUCCCAAUCGCGAUAGCGUUCCUUAGCAAUUGCCUCAAGAGGUGCAAUAUAAACAGCACGCAUUAUGCUAUCAGAUCCCUUUUGAUAAUUCCUCAAUAUAGCAAACUCAGCACAGAUGGUUUUCCCACUCCCUGUUGGUGCAGCAACCAAUACAUUGUCAUCUGUAUUAUACAGAACAGUAAAGACCUGAGUUUGGACAGGAUUAAAAUGUUUAAAAUCUUGAUAAAGAGCUUCAUAUGAUGGAUUCCUCAAUGCAGUCACGGGCAGAGGUUGCAAAUCCAAUAACUCUGUGGGUGGAGGAUACUUUUCUGGUAAAAUAAGGUGCCUAAAAGAGACAGGUAAAACAGUUUGUGACCCGAGCCAUUUAUCUGACACAACACGGAUGAAAUACUGUGGAGGCAAUGGCUCAUAAAUUGGCACUGUGAAGUUCAAUGUGUGGUCCUCAUCAAUGUACUGCUUCUUCAACAUAAAGUACUCAUGAUGGAGAACGCUUUCACCAUCAUUAUCCUCCACAAUGACCCAAAAUGGUUCCACAUAUCCAUGAACCUUGUCUUCCCAUUGAAAGUCUGGUGUUAUAGUAAGUUCAAACCUCAACACAGUACGAGUGAUUGGCUGAACAUGUGCUGCCAGGUUAAGCUUUGGGAAUUGGUGGAUGAACUUAUGCAAUGUUCUUCCCAUCUUUGGGAAACGAACGAGCUCACCAAUUUCCUGUGAUGAAAGGUCAUAAUACCUUUCCCAAGCCAAAUCUUUCUUCUCCAACUUCAUCAGAAUUUCAUUUGGGAUCCCAAUGAAUUGGCGCAGGGGUGUCUGGACGCUCCACAUCCUCUUGUUGACCAUUUUACACAAAUUCAGAGCCUUCUCAGCUAACUGUGCCCAUCCUCUUUUCAAGACAAUCUCAAAAAGAGCUCGUAGAAGACGGCCAGCACUCUGAGUUAUGAACACCAUGUCAGAUGUGAGGGAAAGCCCUUCAAGCUUAAGUUGUGAAAUAUAGGCUUGAAGUAACACAUUAAUCUUAGCACUAGGCUCUUCCAGACUUUCCUUGAUUGGAAUUGGAACACGGUCUAAAAGCUUUGCCAGUUCCAUCUUCUCAUCUUGUCUUACUGUUACAUAUUUAAAUUCUUCACUCAAGGAGAAAAGACGGCAUAGUUCUAUGUCCCCCAUUGUUGGCUUCAGAUGCUCAUUAUACGUGGAUAUUGUCCCAUGAGUUAUAUAGUAAUAACUAGCAAUGCGACCCAAGUCAGUGACCUGGAAAUAUCCACUUUUCCUGUCAUACUUGACCAGAUUAUUUUUGUCCAAGAUAGUUGCAGCAGAAUGAAUCAAAUCAGCCCUCCUCUCCUCCAAUGUAAUAUCUCUGGUGAGAACAUCUGGUGCUAAGCCAUACAGCGUUGGAUUUCGUAGCAUACGGACAUACAAGUAAGUAUAGCCAAGCCAAUUGCAGGCUUCUCUAGCAUUUUGCACAGUUCCAAGAACAAUUUCUGCAUUCAAUUGAUCAGCCAGUUUGGAUACAAACUGACUUUCAAUAGGAAGCUGUUGAUUCAUUAAAGAUAAAUAGUACUGAAGUUCACUGUGGCCAGUGAUGAUAAUUCCUUCCCCAUAUGAAUCAUACUGAGGCCUUCCCGCACGACCCAACAUCUGCAUAACAUCCAAAGGACUUAGCUCAGUCCAUGCUCCUUUUUCUGGAUUGUAAAUCUGAGUCCCUUUGAUAAUAACAGUAUGAGCAGGCAGGUUAACACCCCAAGCAAGAGUUGCAGUGGAAACCAACACUUGUACAUGCCCAUCUGCAAAAAGAUCCUCAACAAGUUGACGGUCAACCCUCGUCAUUCCAGCAUGAUGAACUGCAAAACCAUAGGGCAAAAGAUCUUUCAGAUCAUUGCUUUUGACCAUAUCUGUAUGACUUUGGAGAAUCUCACGGCUUGCACUAUCUUCCCUCAAGAAUCUACCAAGAGUAUCAUUAGCGAGUGCAGUAUCCCGUAUUGCACGAGCUGUCUUCGCUGUUUCCUUUCUCGAGUGAACAAAAAUAAGAACCUGAUGCUUUCCUGCUACAGUCAUUACCUUUUCAUAACAGAUAUCAUUCAUCAACUGAAACCUCUGCAGUGGCUUCUUUACCGUGAUUCCAAUGUACUGUUGAGAAAGAGGGACAGGUCUAUAGCUAUUAUCAAAAUGGAAGAGUCCCUUUUCAACAUCAACCCUCAAAAACAGUGCCACGUCUUCAAAAUUAGGCAGUGUAGCAGACAAUCCCACCAGCCGGAUAUGUUCUUUCGUAGUUUCAAUUUGUCUAACAGUUCUGGCAACAAUACUCUCAAGCACAGGUCCUCUAUUAUCAUGGAGGAGAUGAAUUUCAUCCAUAAUAAGAAGUUUCACAAGUUGUGUAUAAGUGCGAUCACCAGACUUACGAGUAAUAAUAUCCCACUUUUCUGGAGUAGUCACAAUUAUUUGAGUUUCUUCAAUUUGUUGACGAGUCAAUGUCUGGUCUCCACUUAGUUCCCUAACCUUGACACCAUACUCCUGCAGUCGAUUUGACAAAUUACCAACAACUUCAGCCACAAGAGCUUUCAUUGGUGCAACAUAGACUAUCUUAUAGUUGCCAUGGUUGAAUGAACCAUCUGGAUUCCUAUUCAAUGCAAUUUGCUGAAGUAUGGUGAGUACUGCAACAUUAGUCUUCCCUGCCCCAGUAGGAGCACAAAGAAGGACAUUAUCCGCCUUGAAAAGAGCAGUCUCAUACACUUUACUUUGUACCCUGUUCAACUGUUGCAUCCCCUUGAAAGCCGGUUGUGCCCAGUCUGGCAUGUCAGAUAUCUUCACAAGCCUCUCAUCAGGUGCUAUUGGUCUAGGCUUCAGGGCUGGCACAUGAACUUCUUCAUAGCCCUUGCUUUGAUGUCUAUAGGAACCAACUGGAAGAUCACACUUCUUAUUUGCCAUCAAAAGGCCACCCUGCUCAAAGGCAAUGCUAUCUAGAUCAAGCAACUGGGGCUGACCUUUCACCCAACCACUGUCCAUAUCUCUAUCAAUAAGCCCCCUCCUAUCCCUAUCACCAUCCCCACCACUCUCAUCCUUGAGCCGGCGAGCCUCUUCCCUUAUACUCUUCUCUAGGUUUUUUUUGUCUCUCUUUCGCUGUCGCCCUUGUAGCGUGCAACUGCUCCAAAAUUGCUACCAAAUCUGGACCUGAACUCAUCAUUUCCUCCUCGAUCAGUUUUCUCUCUUGUUGGUCUUUAGCCCUUGCCAAACGGGUACACCAUACAAUCUUUAGCCUGUUACGCAAAAGGAACUUAAUAAGGCUGAACUUUUCAAACUGGAGAUGCACCAGCAACUUGGUUUCAACUUCCCUGUCAUCUCCCUCGGCAAGUAUUUUAAGCACCUCCUCUGCCAAUUUUUGGCACUGUUGCGGGUCAAUCUGUUGUUCAUAAGCUUGUGAGAUCUUCCUUUGCAGCCAAUAAGCAUCAAUAUCCUGCACAUUAAGGCCCAUGCCUUCAUUUGCCUCCUGCAUGUCUUCAUCAUCAAUUCCACCACCCAUUUGCAUAGCCCCUGAACCAUUCGGCUCUGCCACAUCAUCAUCAUCUUCUUCCUCAUCCGGAACUGCAUCAAGAUCACUCUCUUCAUCAUCAUCUUCAUUGUCUUCAUCAAACUCAACAGCCACACCCACAUCAUCAUCAAGAGCAUCAUCACCAUUAGCCACAGCAGGCCCUGCAGCAUCACCCCCAUCUUGGAAAUCAGUGAUGAGCCUGCCAAUGGAAACAAGCUGAUCAAACACAUGAUUGGGAAUAGGAUUCAACAACUUCUCAAUCUCCUUCUUCUUGUCAGGGGUCUUCACGGAUUCAUUCUUGAGGACAGCCAAAAUCUCAUCAGCAGCAGCGCUAACAAUAUUGAGAGGCUGACCACCCAACUGCUGUUGAAUGACGCUGAGCAUGGCCUCAUAGGCAGCUCUAGUCUCCUUGGUUUUGGGCUGGUAAACACCUUCCUCAGUAGAAGUGAGCACACUCUCUUCUCGGAGGCGGCGCUUCUUAGCUUGGCGACUGGGAGCAGGCUCUGAGAGUGGGUCACGCUCCUUCUUCUUCUUCGAUUUCUUAAUCUUCUCGUCUAGCUCAGGAGGCCUGCCUCUAUAAGCACGGUCACCGAAGCUUUUAGGAUCAAUCUUGCCCCAAAGGGACUCAGGCUCACCGGUGGGCUCAUGGGUGUCACGCGGGCGAGAGUCAGUGGUAAGUACCAAACUGGAGUUGGCUCGAUACUCAUAUUGCUUAAAUCGGGCGUGUGCUUCCGCACCACCACCAAGAUGCGCCAUUAACGGCUCUCAAAAACAGUAGCCGACUGACCUCCUUAGUGAGAAGAGAACACAGAAUCUCCACUCUUAUUUCCACCGUUUCCGAUUGCACUGGUUCAGUUGAAAUGCCAGUUACAGCCUGAGGGUUUGCUUAUUUGUGGUUUAAAGCAUCUACUACCACCACCAUCGCCUG
rnacentral:misc_RNA from 1 species